UACGAAGGGGGCAAGCGUUGUCCGGAAUCAUUGGGCGUAAAGCGCGUGUAGGCGGUCCGGUAAGUCGGCUGUGAAAGUCCAGGGCUCAACCCUGGGAUGCCGGUCGAUACUGCCGGACUAGAGUUCGGAAGAGGCGAGUGGAAUUCCCGGUGUAGCGGUGAAAUGCGCAGAUAUCGGGAGGAACACCUAUGGCGAAGGCAGCUCGCUGGGACGUUACUGACGCUGAGACGCGAAAGCGUGGGGAGCAAACAGG
rnacentral:rRNA from 1 species